AUUCUGCACUUUUCUGCCUAUGAUUUUAAAUUUUUCAUUGAAUUCCGUUUUCUUUAACUUUUGAAUCCCAAAGCUUUCAUGUUUGAUUUUGUGUACUGAGAUGAAGCUCGCGUAAUCAUAUCGGAUGCAUUCUCAUUUGUUUCCUUUUCAAAAAGUUAUAGUGUUUGUCUCUUUGAAUCACUUCUGCCUGCUCAGGGGAAAGGCAUGGGUUUCUAGUGACAUUUCAUUUUUGAAUGGAUUACAGAUAAUAUUAAGUUUAUUAGAAACUUUACAAAAGGAAAGAGAAAGGAUGCAAACUCAGCUGAGUCAACUAGCUUUUGCUUUAUAUGUAUUUGUUUGAAAUAUGUUUGACCGAAGGAUGACUUGUGUUUAAUCCUUGGUUGACAGUUCUUAUGAAAUGGGAGGAAACGACGUGUCGUCUGAUCAAGUUAUUAAAAAACUUAUUGAAAUGGGAUUUGAGCAUUCUAAUGCCAUAGAAGCUGUAAAAGCUGUAGGACCGUCAGUUGAUGAUGCGGUUGAGUAUGUUUUGAAUGGUUGUGGUAGGAAUCCUCUCAGUGGAACAACUAGUUUUCAAUGUUCUUCAAGGGAUGUAAAGAAUCUUGGUAAGAGGGUUAUGACAUCUUCGCAAUCUAACGGUGAAAUCCGGCAGUCUAGGAUAUGGGAACAUUUUCAACCCACAAGUAAACCUAAGCGAAGCAGAGGUAAUGAUGUAUCUGAUGGGGUCAUGUCUGGAUCCAAGGUGUUGCCUAGUCCUGUGGAAGAACACAAGGAACCAAAUCUGCUUAUAGAUAAUCAGUUUGAAAACGUGGCAGAACCUUCCCAAGUUUGCUGUUCUGAGGAGCUGAAUAUUGGAACAAAUUGGGAGUUGAAGGUUAAUGGUUUAUUAAGAAAGCAUUUUGGUUAUUCAUCCUUGAAGAGUUUCCAGAAGGAAGCCUUGGCUGCUUUGCUUGCUCAUGAAGACUGUCUUGUUCUUGCUGCAACAGGAUCUGGAAAGUCUCUCUGUUUCCAGAUUCCGGCAUUAUUAACAGGAAAGGUUGUAGUUGUGGUUUCUCCUUUGAUAAGCUUGAUGCACGAUCAAUGCUUAAAAUUAUCAGAACAUGGGGUCUCUGCUUGUUUUCUUGGAUCUGGACAACCAGACAGCAGUGUGGAGCAGAAAGCAAUGAGAGGAAUGUAUAGUAUUAUAUAUGUUUGUCCAGAAACAAUUCUGAGACUGAUAAAACCUCUUCAGAGGCUAGCAGAAAGUCGUGGAAUCACAUUGUUUGCAAUUGAUGAAGCCCAUUGUAUAUCUAAGUGGGGCCAUGAUUUUCGGCCUGACUAUCGGCGGUUGUCUGUUUUGCGAGAGAAUUUCAGUGCCAGAAAUUUAAAAUUCUUGAAGUAUGACAUUCCAAUUAUGGCAUUGACUGCUACUGCAACAGUUCAGGUUCGGCAAGACAUUCUUGAUUCUUUGUGCAUGUCAAAGGAGACAAAGACUGUGGUCACUUCAUUCUUCCGUCCAAAUUUGCGAUUCUCAGUGAAACACAGUAGAAAAUCAGUGUCUUCAUAUGGCACAGAUUUCUGUCAACUUAUAGAUGUUUAUGCCAGAAAGAAAAAGGAUGAUGGAAUGAAACAACCUCUAGUUUCUCAUGAAUCUCAUUGUCCAUCUGAUUCAGAUAAAUUUUCUGGAAGUGGGUUUAAUGACAUUCAAAACAGUGACAUCGAAGAAAGUGAUGAUGAGAGUUCAGAAAAGGAAAAUGGUUCAAUUCCUUCAAGGGGAAGGCAAAUGUCAGUUGAGUAUUUAGAAAAUGAGGUUGAUGUCUUUCAGAGUGCGGAAGAUUGGGAUGUUGCCUAUGGUGAAUUUUCUGGACAAGUUCAUUGCGAAGAAUGGAAUUCACAUGGGUCAAUAGAGAAAAUAGAUCCACCAAAUAAACCAGAAGAAAGACUGAGGCUUCUGCAAGAGCCAUUGGAACAAGGACCGACCAUCAUAUAUGUUCCCACAAGAAAGGAAACACUGAGCAUUGCGAAGUAUCUCUGCAAAUUUGGAGUAAAGGCUGCCGCUUAUAAUGCAGCGUUGCCAAAAUCACAUUUAAGGCAGGUUCACAAGGAAUUUCAUGAAGACUCCCUGCAGGUUGUUGUUGCCACAAUGGCUUUUGGAAUGGGGAUUGACAAAUUAAAUGUCCGAAGAAUCAUACAUUAUGGUUGGCCACAGAGUUUGGAAGCAUAUUAUCAAGAAGCUGGUCGAGCCGGAAGGGAUGGAAAAUUAGCAGAUUGCAUUUUAUAUGUGAACUUAUCAAGAAUGCCAACACUUCUGCCUAGUAAAAGAAGCGAAGAUCAGGCAAAACGAGCUUAUAAAAUGUUAUCAGAUUUCUUCAGAUAUGGAAUGAAUACUUCUUGCUGUCGAGCCAAAAUCCUUGUUGAGUACUUUGGGGAGGAUUUCGGUGAUAAGAAGUGCCUCUUGUGCGACAUUUGUGUUGAUGGACCUCCUAAGAUGCUGGAUUUGAAAGAGGAGGCAAACAUUUUGAUGCAAAUGAUUGCUGCUCGUUACGCAGAGAGCGGUUUCAUGGACUACUCAUAUGAUGAUUCUCUGUGUAGUGAUACUGAACGGCAAAAAUUCCUAGUGAAGCCAAACCUUAGAGCUUUUGUUAAUAAAAUAAGGGAGCAGUCUCAAAAAUUCAUAACCACUGAUCUGCUAUGGUGGAAAGGUCUUGCUCGAAUCAUGGAAGCUAAAGGAUAUAUCAGAGAGGGGGAUGAUAAGAUCCAUGUUCAGAUAAAAUUUCCGGAACCAACAAAAAGGGGACUGGAAUUUCUUCAGUCUGAGAGUGAUGAAGGUUUCCAUGUUUACCCAGAAGCAGAUAUGCUUUACUCACUGAGAAAACCGAGAGCUUAUUCCAGUUUCUCCGAUUGGGGAAAGGGCUGGGCUAAUCCUGAGAUCCGUCGUCAGCGUUUAGACAAAAUUCGGUCUUCAAACAGGAAACCACGAAAGCCAAGAAUAAGGAAAUCAAGAAAACAUUUCUCGGAUACUAGUACUUCUCGGGGUAGAAUAUCUGCAAAAAUCUCGCAAAAGAAGUGAGCUAGCAUAUUUAUUCCUUUCAUUUUCCCAGUAUAGGAUGGUUAAAGUUUAGAGAUUUAAUCCAUUUCAUGAAGCAAACCAUGGAGGAAGAGUAACACAAAAGCAACCAAGAACUUGUUAAUGGAAAGAAGCAAGGAAUCUCCACCCUUUACAUAAACAGGACUUUCAUUUCCCAUUCUCCAAAUAAACAGAAGCUUAUUGAUGGACUAUGUUAGGAUAAUUUUCGCGGUUAUCGGCUUUUCCACUUCGUUCAUUUUCGUCCUACCGAGUUUGAAGAAAUGGCACAGGCAGCAAGUUUCGAUAGAGAAGCUAAGGAUCAUUAGCCAGGCAUUGGAACAUGCUGAAGAAAGAGUUGUGAGGUUUCAAGAAAGGCAUGAUCGUAUACUUGGCCAAAUAUGUUCGUAUUACAUGGUUAAUCAAGACCUUGAGGACGCCUUGGCCGGUGCUCGAGCUGCCAUGAACGAGGCUUUGGAGUUCGCUGUUGGGCUGAGGAAAAUGCAAUUGCAGAUUUUGAGGUCCUUAACUGAAGUUGAUGCUUUUCAUGUUGGAUAGAUGACAAUUGAGAACUACUUAUUAAGAGAAUUAAACCGUCAGGGCCGCCUGAGAGCUUGGCUUCACCAUGGACAAAUCACAUCUACAUCAGAACAUUAAAAAGGAGAAUAAAACCAGCAAGAGAAGGGAGAAAAUCACUCAUACUUAUCCAAAAAUCAAAAGGUUAACUCCUAUCAGAAAAACAGCAAAGAACAAAGAAGAAAAAUGUGUGGUUGCUGUGCGAACAUCAAGAGAUGAGGCUAAUCAGACCCGCCAAUCCACCAACGAUCAUCUUCAACCUCUGUUGCUAUCGAUCCAGAGCUCGUACUACGCUUUGAGGGGUCAUGUGAAUAAUGUAGACUAUCUAUCGGAUGAUCGCCUUAUGCCAUACUUGAAGUCAGCCGGAUUCAGAUCAACGACAUUGAUACGGAUGUUUGAUUUGCGAUACGACUUAAUAUCCGCUUUAGUCUAGCGAUGACGACUUGAGAGUUGCACAUUUCAUUUGCCAUGUGGAGAGUGCAACAUCACUUUAGAGAAUGUUGCACUGCAACUUGGGUUACCAAUCGACUGGAGUGCGGUUACGGACGUAAGUACGAUCUCUGAACUCGUCGCCCUUUGCUAUAACUUAUUGGGAGUCUCAUUCGGUGACGUUAAGUUGAAAUUUACGGGUUUGAGAUUUUCAUGGCUGAAAGCCAAUUUUGAGCAUUUACCGAGUACUUCCACCGAGCGAGAGGUGAUGUGCGCCACUCGAACAUACAUUAUGCACAUUAUUGUAGGUGUACCCAUACCGGACACAAACAACAACAAGGUGUACUUGCUGUACUAGCCACUGUUAACUAACUUGCAAAACGUCCGUUCGUAUAGUUGGGGUUGGGUAGUACUAGCUAUAUUGUAUCGCAAGCUUUAUUGGACGACAAAGCCUUCUGCUGUGGACAUAGGCAGCUGCCUCAUAUUGUUGCAGUAUUGAGCCCUUUACCAGAUGCUUUUCCUGGUAUCAGUUUGUCACUAAGAAUACGUGUCGAAACCAUUUUUUUGUAAAAGAUUUGACUUUAAUUUUGAAAACAAAAACGAAUAUGGGAGUUGCCACCCAUCUUUUUUUAA